GUAGGUGAACCUGCGGAAGGAUCAUUAAACGUUUAGAGAGUGGACGGCCGAAAGGUCGUCCUCUACCAUCUCCAAACCAAACUGUGAAACCUCCUUUUUAUUUCAAAACCACAUCUCUGUAAAUGUCAAUGUCUGAAAAAUUAUGAAAACAAGUUAAAACUUUCAACAACGGAUCUCUUGGUUCUCGCAUCGAUGAAGAACGCAGCAUCUGACUGACUCAGGUCUGU
rnacentral:misc_RNA from 1 species